CCCUUAGAUGUUCUGGGCCGCACGCGUGCUACACUGAGUGGAUCAGCGGGUCAGGUUGCGCGAAAGUGUUUCCUAAUCUUUAAAUCCGCUCGUGAUGGGGAUUGACGGUUGCAAUUUUCCGUCAUGAACGAGGAAUACCUUGUAAGCGCGGGUCAUCAUCCCGCGCUGAAUACGUCCCUGCCCUUUGUACACACCGCCCGUCGCUCCUACCGAUUGAGUGGUCCGGUGAAUAAUUCGGACUGCGGCAUUGACCGGUUCCCGAUCGUUGCUGCGGAAAGUUUAGUGAACCUUAUCACUUAGAGGAAGGAGAAGUCGUAACA
rnacentral:rRNA from 1 species